rnacentral:rRNA from 1 species
ACACGACUACAUUAGAUACCCGGGUAGUCCCAGCCCUAAACGAUGCGUGUUAGGUGUAUCGGUGACCACGAGUCACCGAGGUGCCGAAGGGAAACCGUGAAACGUGCCGCCUGGGAAGUACGGUCGCAAGGCUGAAACUUAAAGGAAUUGCGGGGGAGCACCACAACGGGUGGAGCCUGCGGUUUAAUUGGACUCAACGCCGGGAAGCUCACCGGAUAAGACAGCGGAAUGAUUGCCGGGCUGAAGACCCUGCAUGACCAGCUG